rnacentral:rRNA from 1 species
GUGCCAGCAGCCGCGGUAAUACGUAGGGGGCAAGCGUUGUCCGGAUUUAUUGGGCGUAAAGCGCGUGUAGGCGGCUAUGCAGGUCCGCUGUGAAAACUCGAGGCUCAACCUCGAGACGUCGGUGGAAACCGCAUGGCUAGAGUCCGGAAGAGGAGAGUGGAAUUCCCGGUGUAGCGGUGAAAUGCGCAGAUAUCGGGAAGAACACCCGUGGCGAAGGCGGCUCUCUGGGACGGUACUGACGCUGAGACGCGAAAGCGUGGGGAGCGAACAGGAUUAGAUACCCCCGUAGUCC